UAGUCGGGGUGCCAAUACUAAUGGCUGAGAAACACCCGUGAACCUGAAACAGAUAAUGCUGGCGUAGGAAACUAAUCAUCUC
rnacentral:ncRNA from 1 species